UACGUAGGUGACAAGCGUUGUCCGGAUUUACUGGGCGCAAAGAGCGCGCAGGCGGUCGAUCAAGUCGAGUGUGAAAGCCCCCGGCUCAACUGGGGAGGGUCAUUCGAUACUGAUCGACUCGAAGGCAGGAGAGGGUAGUGGAAUUCCCGGUGUAGUGGUGAAAUGCGUAGAUAUCGGGAGGAACACCAGUGGCGAAGGCGACUACCUGGCCUGUUCUUGACGCUGAGGCGCGAAAGCUAGGGGAGCAAACGGG
rnacentral:rRNA from 1 species